GUGGGGAAUAUUGGGCAAUGGGGGAAACCCUGACCCAGCAACGCCGCGUGAAGGAAGAAGGCUUUCGGGUUGUAAACUUCUUUUACCAGGGACGAAGAAAGUGACGGUACCUGGAGAAAAAGCCACGGCUAACUACGUGCCAGCAGCCGCGGUAAUACGUAGGUGGCAAGCGUUGUCCGGAUUUACUGGGUGUAAAGGGCGUGUAGGCGGAGAUGCAAGUCAGAUGUGAAAUCCUCGGGCUUAACCCGGGAACUGCAUUUGAAACUGUAUCCCUUGAGUAUCGGAGAGGCAGGCGGAAUUCCUAGUGUAGCGGUGAAAUGCGUAGAUAUUAGGAGGAACACCAGUGGCGAAGGCGGCCUGCUGGACGACAACUGACGCUGAGGCGCGAAAGCGUGGGGAGCAAACAGGAUUAGAAACCCUAGUAGUCC
rnacentral:rRNA from 1 species